AUGGCGGAGGAACCAUCCACCAAGCGUCAUCAAGAUGAGCCGUCGGACAAGAGCAGCAACCUCAUCGAUGUUCACGUCCCCGGUGAGAAGCGCGAGUACACCAAAACCCUCAAAGAGGUUGAGCUCCAUGGCAAGGAGACGCUGGAGAUCGUCUGCACCAGCAAACCAGACAAGGCCGACGAUGUGAUCUCUAGGCUCUAG
rnacentral:rRNA from 1 species